UUGUAACUGCCACCGGGUAGUGAAUGUAAUAACAUUCGUUUCCGUAUCAUCAGGUCUCAGAAGAUACGGGGACGAAUUUUUCUUUUAU
rnacentral:ncRNA from 1 species